AAAGCCCACUACUCUUUUCUCGGUCGUUUGCGACGCUUAAGAACAACUCUAAUUUAUUGCUUCAGAAGCUCAACCAUCGUCCUUACAUUCACCAAGGCAGAUAAUAAAUUAUUUCAAUCCAGAUUUUUCGUUUUCAAUCUUUUUCAAUUGUUAUUGUUACUUCAAUUUAUAAUUUGUAUUCCUCUUCGUCGUCAGGUUCACUCUCGAUUUCUAGGAUCUGAUUUCGUUUUGAUGUUCGUUGAAUGAUCUUAUAGAGAAACAUGUACGAUUCUUUUGGCCUGUUAAGAGUUCUGAGAAGAUUAAGCAUCAUCAGUUUUCUUUUUGUUCUCCUUGAUUACAUGUUUGAAUAUAGCUCAGGCAACCGGGGCUUCUAGCUCUAAUGGUAAAGGGUUUACAGCUGUGAGUACCGCCACCUGGAGAGAAAAAUGUUGUAGACUUUUUAUAUCAUGCUUCUUACAUAGACUUUGAUUUCUGAGACAAAAUCCUUUCCACCAAGAUUAGCAGGCAUAGCUUCCACAAGCAAGGUUUGGGAGUAGGGAGGUCAGAGGUCGCGCACUGUAAUCAAUGAGCUCGGGUCUCUGAAACUGGAAUUUGACAAGAUAUAAGCCUUUGUAAUCAAAGUUUUACGAGGAGAUGACAGCUUCGGAAGCAAAAUAUCAAAAGUUUUAUAAGCCUUUGUAGACCAAGUUGUUCUAAUACCUCCGACGACUUGAAGCCUUUGCGACAUGCCUUCCCCGAGAACCGAGGAAAGGACCAUUUUCCACCACCACGUUCGCGUCGUUAGGGAGGGGAUAUCCACGUUGGAGAAGGUGCUCCACUGAGUCACGCACCGCCGUCGUCGUGGAAGGAUCGCCGGGGGGUGGGAAAAUAAGAUCUGGAGUCACACUUUAGCUCUAAAAGCCAACCUCCAUCACUACCGCUGCUCCUCUCGUAUUCCUCCAAAAUUUUGUAAAUCCUUAUAGUGUAAUGGUUUCAGACUUCUAUUUGUUCCAGAUGGGUGCUAGGUUCGAAGCCACACACAUAUUCUUUUUUUUUUCAAAUUUUAUUACAUUCUUUUAAUAAUGAUAAUAAGUGAAAUCAUUAGUCAAGAACUCAAGAUACAACCGCAUUUUGAUACAUAUUAGUUUCUUCCCUUUUUUUAACAAUUUUGAUUUUUGUAUAUGUUGAAUUAUAUUAAAAUGUUAAAUGUGAUUUGAUUCUUCAUU